GCUUGGCCGCCGCCUCGGCCGGUGCCGCGCCCGGGCUGCCGGUGGUCACUGGGGCCAGCCCCGCUGGGGCCGAGGGCAGGGCUGGGGGAGCUGCUGGGAGCGAACGGAGCUCUGUGCCCAGGGAUGGCCGCGGAGCCUGAGGGACCGGGUGUUCAGAUAGCAAGUUCUCUGAAAAAUCAGCGCACUGCCACAGCAUGAAUUAAGGAGUGAAGGGUCUCUCCUGAUGCUCCAAGGCAAAAUGCUCUUCCAGGAUCUAUUUCCCCCAGUUCUACAUGUUGAAUGAAGAUAUUUCAGUGGCUGAAAGGAUGUCAAUAGAAAACACAUCAGUGCUCUGAAAAAGUGGCAUCUGUCAGCAUUGCAGAUGGGGAGACAAGAAACCUUCAAAUAUGUAAUUUUAAAAUAAAACUUCGUUCUGCAAGAACAAAGGUCUGGUUCUCAGGUCUGGCAGGUGACAAGUAAGAUGGGAUGCAUAAGGUUCAAAAUCACCAAGAGGCCACAGCUGCCCACUGAAUCCAAGAGGUGGUGCCUGGAGAUUGCAGUUACUGUCUCUGCCACAUUCCUGAAUCCCUUAAACAAACUGUGAUGCCAAAGCUCCAAGACUGGAUGGAUAUUCGCAGACCCACUGAAGACCUAGAGUGCUUCAGAAAAAGGCUUGGAUCUCUGAGGUGUUGCUUAUCAGUAAGAAUUAGGAACAGGAGUGGGGCACUAAAGAAGCUGAUGUUCACUGGAGCCAUCAGUUCUCCUCUGUAAAUUGAAAUAAAGAUUUUUUUUUUUUAAAAUAUUGCCUCUGACAGACUUGUCAGUCAUAGAAUGGUCUAAAUUAAGUGGAUAAGUAAUUAGCAUUGUCAUCCUGAAGUUUAGUGACUGAUAAAAUUCUUUUGGAAUUUAAAAACCUCAAGAAUUGUCUUUAUUACUCAGUCUACCAAAAUGAGCACUCAUACUGAUGUUUUAUGACUGAUAAAAACCUGGAACUUAAGAAAAACACUGAAGAAUUGUCUUUAUUACUCAGUCUACCCCUUCACCUUUACUCUGAAAAAAUACAAGGAAUCCACUUUCUCUGUAACAGAAAAUAUCAAAAUUAAUACAGUCAUCUCCUUUUCCCAUCACCUUUAUACCUUGAACUGCGUCAUUCCACGCUUGCUUGAGAAUUCUGGCAAACACCAGUUAAUAAGCCCAGAGGGCCUAAGAACACCUUAAUGAGAUCAUCUACUUGGAAAGGGAUAUAGAAUCUGUAAAACUGCAAUUAUACUUCAAAUGAUGCUUUCAAGAUCUGCAGCAAAACUGAAUCAUUAGUAAUUUUUUCCAGUGGUACCAAAAAUUAUUGUUUAUCAGUUGGAACUCUGGGUGCAAGGUAGCAAAAGGUCUUUGGUUAUAAAUAAGCUUUGUGUUUUCAGAAAAAAACACAUUUCCCUCAUUUUUUCAGCAUCGUCUUCGGGUAUAAUAGAGAUGGCUCAUUAUACUGUGGUUUAUGGGAUGGAGGGUGAUGUUUGUGCCAGCAGUAGAGUCUUUAUUUGCAGCAAAUAUAAUGAGUCAACCGUACCUGCUCAUCAGAUUAACUCAAAGAGCUCAAACCCCAACCCAUAUUGCUAGCAUUUUUGUCUGCAGAACAUCAGCUAUCAAAAUCUAAACAGAUAGAUCUGCUCCCAGACAAAAGACAGGCAGGGCUGCUCCCUGUGCAAGGAUCAGCCCAGGACAGACUGAAGGUGAUUAAGCAGGAGCUGAGAGAGAAAACCUGUCUCAACUCCAGCUCCUGACCCUACAUUAGCCGUCUGCAUAAAUACAAGCAGUAUCCAAACACUCCCUGAGCUCUGUCAGGUUUGGUGUUGUCACCGCUGCCCUGGGGAAGCUGUCCCAGUGCUCAGCCACCCUCUGGGGGAAGAAACCUUUCCUGAUAUCCAGCCUAAACCUGAAAACCCUGACCCAGCUUCAGGCCAUUCCCUGGGGUUCUGUCACUGGUGAAGAGAGCAGUGCCUGCCCCUCCUCUUCCCCUCCUGAGGAUUUUGAAGACCCCAGUCAGUCUCCCCUCAGUCUCCUCCAGCUGAAAAGACCUUCAGCCCCUCCUCCAGAACCCUCCCCAUCCUCACUGCCCUCCCCAACAGCUUGAUGCCCGUUGACCUUUUGUUAAAGACAACACUUUACACACCAUUUCAGUACCCCUUGCCUGGGAAAUCAAGGUUAAAAAUAUUAACAUUAAAAAAAUACACAGUGCGAAUUACAUAACAAUAAAAAAAUUGCUUAAACCAAUGUUACAAUUUGCUGAUUCUAUCCAGAAAACAGUUAAGACAUAUCCCCAAGCAGUUCCCAAAACCAGGAUGAAAUGGUACAGUUCCAAAGCAAUUAAACAGCACAAAAUUCUGUUUCCUUUAGGGAGUUACUGAUUUACUCUGGCCAUCACUGGUUAGGAAAGUUAAUGAAAAAAUAUGAGAUUUUAUUAUUUCAGCACGAGCAACUACUACCAGCAAAGGCAUGCUGCACAUCUGAUGAGUAACUUUUUAACAAUUAAGAGCUCUGACACAUGAACAGAAAAAAAGCAGAAAAGUCAAAAUCCAGGUUUAGUAAGGCAGGUAAUGGAAUGUGCUGUUACGUGUAAGAAGCAUUUCUCCAAAUGCUGCAGUCCUUUCAAUGCCAGCUCUUGGCAGUACUGAGUUGCUCAAUCUUAUAAACAGAUAAUGUGUUUUAGUGACACAGUUUCCUUCUGAAACUCA